rnacentral:rRNA from 1 species
ACGCAGCCCUGAUCCAGCCAUGCCGCGUGCGGGAAGAAGGCCUUCGGGUUGUAAACCGCUUUUGUCAGGGAAGAAAUCUUCUGGGUUAAUACCUCGGGAGGAUGACGGUACCUGAAGAAUAAGCACCGGCUAACUACGUGCCAGCAGCCGCGGUAAUACGUAGGGUGCAAGCGUUAAUCGGAAUUACUGGGCGUAAAGCGUGCGCAGGCGGUUUUGUAAGACAGAGGUGAAAUCCCCGGGCUCAACCUGGGAACUGCCUUUGUGACUGCAAGGCUUGAGUGCGGCAGAGGGGGAUGGAAUUCCGCGUGUAGCAGUGAAAUGCGUAGAUAUGCGGAGGAACACCGAUGGCGAAGGCAAUCCCCUGGGCCUGCACUGACGCUCAUGCACGAAAGCGUGGGGAGCAAACAGGAUUAGAUACCCUGGUAGUCCACGCCCUAAACGAUGUCAACUGGUUGUUGGGAAGGUUCCUUCUCAGUAACGUAGCUAACGCGUGAAGUUGACCGCCUGGGGAGUACGGCCGCAAGGUUG